rnacentral:tRNA from 1 species
GCUCCAGUGGCGCAAUUGGUUAGCGCACGGUACUUAUAAGACAGUACGGAGUCAUGCCGGGGUUGUGAGUUCGAACCUCACCUGGAGCA